UAAAGCGAAUAAGGGCGCAUGGUGGAUGCCUAGGGUCUGAGAGGCGAUGAAAGACGUGGUAAGCUGCGAUAAGCUACGGGGAGGUGCACACGACCGUUAUAUCCGUAGAUUUCUGAAUGGGACAACCUAAUAUACUGAAGGUAUAUUAUCCCGAUUUUAAUCGGGAAGCCAACCCCGAGAACUGAAACAUCUAAGUACCGGGAGGAAAAGAAAAUAAUAAUGAUUCCCUGAGUAGUGGCGAGCGAAAAGGGAAGAGCCCAAACCGGGUCAGCGUGCUGAUCCGGGGUUAUAGGACUGCAUUUAGAAAUUGUUAUCAAACUGAAUCAUCUGGAAAGAUGAGCCAUAGCAGGUGAUAGCCCUGUAGGUGCAAAUUAACAAGGACGAGCAGUAUCCUGAGUAACGCGGGACCGGAGGAAUCUUGCGUGAAUUUGCCAGCACCAUCUGGUAAGGCUAAAUACUCCUCAGACACCGAUAGUGAACCAGUACCGUAAGGGAAAGGUGAAAAGCACCCCGAACAGGGGAGUGAAAUAGUACCUGAAACCGUGCGCCUACAAGCGGUCGGAGUCCCGAUUUAUCGGGAUGACGGCGUGCCUUUUGCAUAAUGAGCCUACGAGUUGCUCCUCACUGGCGAGGUUAAGUUCUUAUAUAACGGAGCCGAAGCGAAAGCGAGUCCAAAUAGGGCGAAUAGUCAGUGGGGGCAGACGCGAAACUUUGUGAUCUAUCCAUGGGCAGGUUGAAGGUGUGGUAACACACACUGGAGGACCGAACCCGUUGACGUUGAAAAGUCUUGGGAUGACCUGUGGAUAGGGGUGAAAGGCCAAUCAAACUGAGAGAUAGCUCGUUCUCCCCGAAAUGUUUUUAGGAACAGCGUUGCAUUAUGAAGUUUAUUAGAGGUAGAGCUACUGAUUGGGCUAGGGGGCUUCACCGCCUACCAAACCCUGACAAACUCCGAAUGCUAAUAAAUAUCUGCAGCAGUGAGGCUUUGGGCGCUAAGGUCCAGGGCCGAGAGGGAAAUAACCCAGAUUAGCAACUAAGGUCCCUAAUACGUAGUUAAGUUGAUCAAACGAGGUGGGAUUUCUAUAACAGCCAGGAUGUUGGCUUGGAAGCAGCCAUUCAUUUAAAGAGUGCGUAACAGCUCACUGGUCGAGAGAUCCUGCACGGAAAAUAAUCGGGCAUCAAACUACGAACCGAAGUUCUAAAUUCUAGCUUGCUAGAGUGGUAGGGGAGCAUUGAAAUCUGCACAGAAGGUGUAUCGCGAGAUAUGCUGGAGCGAUUUCAAAAGAAAAUGUAGGCAUAAGUAACGAUAAUUAAAGUGAAAAACUUUAACGCGAAAAGUCUAAGGUUUCCUGAUCAACGUUAAUCGGAUCAGGGUUAGUCUGGUCCUUAGGAAAACCCGAAAGGGGCAUCUGAUGGAAAGAAGGUUAAUAUUCCUUCACCUACUAUGCAAUAAAAGUGACGCAGGGACGUGGUGGUUGCGUACGGACGGAAGUGUACGCCUGAGUGGAGUCUUCGGAUGAAGCGAAAUCAUAAAAUCCCUGCCAAGAAAAGCGAGCAUAGCAGCCAGUACCGGAAUCCGACACAGGUAGACGGGAUGAGUAUUCUAACGCGCUCGGGUGAGCCGUGGAGAAGGAACUAGGCAAAUUAACGCUGUAACUUCGGGAUAAAGCGUACCAUCGCGAGAUGGUCACAGUAAAAUGGUACAACCAACUGUUUAACAAAAACACAGGGCCCUGCAAAAACGUAAGUUGACGUAUAGAGCCUGAAACCUGCCCGGUGCUGGAAGGUUAAGGAAGGGUGUUCGGCGCAAGCCAAAGCUCCUGACUGAAGCCCCAGUAAACGGCGGCCGUAACUAUAACGGUCCUAAGGUAGCGAAAUUCCUUGUCGGGUAAGUUCCGACCUGCACGAAUGGUCUAAUGAGUUGUACACUGUCUCCUCCACGAGCCCGGUGAAAUUGUAGUAUCGGUGAAGAUGCCGGUUACCCGCCACGGGACGGAAAGACCCCGUGAACCUUCACUACAACUUUGCAUUGAUUUUGAGCAACAAAUGUGUAGGAUAGUUGGGAGACUAUGAAGCAGUGUCGCCAGGCAUUGUGGAGUCAACGUUGAAAUACCAACCUUUUGUUGCUUAGAACCUAACCCUGAACAAGGGGACAUUGCAUGGUGGGUAGUUUGACUGGGGUGGUCGCCUCCUAAAAAGUAACGGAGGCUCGCAAAGGUACCCUCAGUACGGUUGGUAAUCGUACGCAGAGCGCAUUAGUAAAAGGGUGCUUGACUGUGAGACAAACACGUCGAGCAGGAGCGAAAGCUGGCUAAAGUGAUCCGGUGGUUCUGUAUGGAAGGGCCAUCGCUCAAAGGAUAAAAGGUACUCCGGGGAUAACAGGCUGAUCUUACCCAAGAGCUCAUAUCGACGGUAAGGUUUGGCACCUCGAUGUCGGUUCGUCACAUCCUGGGGCUGGAGAAGGUCCCAAGGGUUCGGCUGUUCGCCGAUUAAAGUGGCACGUGAACUGGGUUCAGAACGUCGCAAGACAGUUCGGUCCCUAUCUGUGGUGGGCGCUAGUAAAUUGAGAGGACGUGACCUUAGUACGAGAGGACCGGGUUGCACGUACCGCUGGUGUAUCUGUUAUGCCGCCAGGUGUAAUGCAGAGUAGCUAUGUACGGCAAGGAUAAACGCUGAAAGCAUCUAAGCGUGAAACCUUCCACAAGAUGAGUUUACUUUUAAGGGUCGUCGAAGACUACGACGUUGAUAGGCUAUAGGUGUAAAGUUGGUAACAACAAAGCCGAGUAGUACUAAUUGCCCGUAAGCUUUAUUUU
rnacentral:rRNA from 1 species